rnacentral:lncRNA from 1 species
UGGGUGUCUUGCAAUAUCGAAGUGAUAAUCUAUUUGUCAGAUCUCUUAUAUCUUUUGACGAAAUCAAACCAUCAUGGUAUAUUCUGCUUUUGUAUAGACCGAAGUGUACUAAAUGAUAUUCAUAUUAUACAUGUUAAAUGAAUGAACAAAUAUUAAACCUAUCUUUUUAUUGUUUUCCGCCCAUGUCUGCUCAUCGCCAGAAAUAAAG